rnacentral:rRNA from 1 species
GCGACAAGCGGAGGAACAUGUGGUUAAUUCGAUGAUACGCGAGGAACCUUACCUGGGCUUAAAUGGGAGUGACAGCUGUCGAAAGAUGGUUUCUUCGGACACUCUUCAAGGUGCUGCAUGGUUGUCGUCAGCUCGUGCCGUGAGGUGUCGGGUUAAGUCCCAUAACGAGCGCAACCCUUACCGUUAGUUACCAUCAGGUUAAGCUGGGGACUCUAGCGGGACUGCCACCGUAAGGUGAGAGGAAGUGGGGAUGACGUCAAAUCAGCACGGCCCUUAUGUCCAGGGCUACACACGUGUUACAAUGGCCAGUACAAAGGGCAGCUACCGGGUGACCGGAUGCUAAUCUCUAAAGCUGGUCUCAGUUCGGAUCGAAGUCUGCAACCCGACUUCGUGAAGCUGGAUUCGCUAGUAAUCGCGCAUCAGCCAUGGCGCGGUGAAUACGUUCCCGGGCCUU